GUGAAAUGUUUAGGACCACUAGA
rnacentral:ncRNA from 2 species